rnacentral:rRNA from 1 species
UACGAAGGGGGCGAGCGUUGUUCGGAUUUACUGGGCGUAAAGGGCGCGUAGGCGGCCCUCCUUGUCGCGUGUGAAAGCCCCGGGCUCAACCUGGGAAUUGCGCGCGAAACGGGAGGGCUUGAGUUCGGGAGAGGAGCGUGGAAUUCCCGGUGUAGCGGUGAAAUGUGUAGAGAUCGGGAGGAACACCGGUGGCGAAGGCGGUCUUCUGGACGGUGACUGACGCUGAGGCGCGAAAGCGUGGGGAGCAAACGGG